GAUAAACGCUGGCGGCGCACAUAAGACAUGCAAGUCGAACGAACUUAACCAUUUAGUUUACUAUUGGAGCGGUUAGUGGCGGACUGGUGAGUAACACGUAAGCAACCUGCCUAUCAGAGGGGAACAACAGUUAGAAAUGACUGCUAAUACCGCAUAUGCCUUAGAAUCACAUGGUUCAAAAGGGAAAGGAGCAAUCCGCUGAUAGAUGGGCUUGCGUCUGAUUAGCUAGUUGGUGGGGUAACGGCCUACCAAGGCGACGAUCAGUAGCCGAACUGAGAGGUUGAACGGCCACAUUGGGACUGAGAUACGGCCCAGACUCCUACGGGAGGCAGCAGUCGGGAAUAUUGCGCAAUGGAGGAAACUCUGACGCAGUGACGCCGCGUGCAGGAAGAAGGUUUUCGGAUUGUAAACUGCUUUAGACAGGGAAGAACAAAGACAGUACCUGUAGAAUAAGCUC
rnacentral:rRNA from 1 species